GAUGAACGCUAGCUACAGGCUUAACACAUGCAAGUCGAGGGGCAGCAUGAACUUAGCUUGCUAAGUUUGAUGGCGACCGGCGCACGGGUGAGUAACACGUAUCCAACCUGCCGAUGACUCGGGGAUAGCCUUUCGAAAGAAAGAUUAAUACCCGAUGGCAUAGUUCUUCCGCAUGGUAGAACUAUUAAAGAAUUUCGGUCAUCGAUGGGGAUGCGUUCCAUUAGGUUGUUGGCGGGGUAACGGCCCACCAAGCCUUCGAUGGAUAGGGGUUCUGAGAGGAAGGUCCCCCAGAUUGGAACUGAGACCCGGUCCAAACUGCUACGGGAGGGAGCAGUGAGGAAUAUUGGUCAAUGGACGAGAGUCUGAACCAGCCAAGUAGCGUGAAGGAUGACUGCCCUAUGGGUUGUAAACUUCUUUUAUACGGGAAUAAAGUGAGGCACGUGUGCCUUUUUGUAGGUACCGGAUGAAUAAGGAUCGGCUAACUACGUG
rnacentral:rRNA from 1 species